rnacentral:rRNA from 1 species
GCAUAACGCGAAGAACCUUACCAGGCCUUGACAUGCAGAGAACUUUCCAGAGAUGGAUUGGUGCCUUCGGGAACUCUGACACAGGUGCUGCAUGGCUGUCGUCAGCUCGUGUCGUGAGAUGUUGGGUUAAGUCCCGUAACGAGCGCAACCCUGGUCCUUAGUUACCAGCACGUUAUGGUGGGCACUCUAAGGAGACUGCCGGUGACAAACCGGAGGAAGGUGGGGAUGACGUCAAGUCAUCAUGCCCCUUAUGACCUGGGCUACACACGUGCUACAAUGGCCGGUACAGCGCGCAGCGAACUCGCGAGGGUAAGCAAAUCGCUUAAAACCGGUCUCAGUUCAGAUCGGAGUCUGCAACCCGACUCCAUGAAGUCGGAAUCGCUAGUAAUCUCGGGUCAGCAUACCGAGGUGAAUACGUUCCCGGGUCUUGUACACACCG